GGGGGAGAAUGGAGUUAAGGCAGCUCGGCAGAGGAAAAGUAAAAUGAAAAAAUUAGAAAA
rnacentral:sRNA from 1 species